rnacentral:rRNA from 1 species
CCUACGGGAGGCUGCAGUGGGGAAUAUUGGGCAAUGGGCGCAAGCCUGACCCCGCAACGCCGCGUGAAGGAAGACGGCUUUCGGGUUGUAAACUUCUUUUCUCCGGGACGUAGCAAGUGACGGUACCUGCGGAAUAAGCCACGGCUAACUACGUGCCAGCAGCCGCGGUAAUACGUAGGUGGCAAGCGUUAUCCGGAUUUACUGGGUGUAAAGGGCGUGUAGGCGGGACUGCAAGUCAGAUGUGAAAACCACGGGCUCAACCUGUGGCCUGCAUUUGAAACUGUAGUUCUUGAGUACUGGAGAGGCAGACGGAAUUCCUAGUGUAGCGGUGAAAUGCGUAGAUAUUAGGAGGAACACCAGUGGCGAAGGUGGUCUGCUGGACAGCAACUGACGCUGAGGCGCGAAAGCGUGGGGAGCAAACAGGAUUAGAUACCCCGGUAGUC